rnacentral:rRNA from 1 species
GAUGAACGCUGGCGGCGUGCCUAAUACAUGCAAGUCGAACGGAAAGGCCCUGCGCUUGCGGCGUGCACGAGAGGGGAACGGGGGAGUAAAACGCGAGGAUCACGCACCUGUAAUUGGGAUAAAACUAGGAAAAAGGGGCUAUAAUAGCAUAGAAGCUAUUGAAGCGUGGUGGGCGUUGGAGAGUGUCGGCGGUUGGGGAUGGUCUCGCUGCUUAUGAGCUUGUUGGUGGGGUAGGGGCUUUCAAAGGUUACGAAGGGUAGCCGGCCUGGGAGGGUGGCCGGCCUCAAUAGGACUGAGAGACGGCCCAGUCUCCUACGGGAGGCAACAGUGGGGAAUAUUGCACAAUGGGCGGAAGCCUGAUACAGCAACGCCGCGUGCGGGAUGACGUCUUUCGGGUGGUAAACCGCUGUGGCCUGUGACGAAGCGGGAGUGACGGUAAUUGGUAAAGAAGCACCGGCUAACUACGUG